AUAAGCCUACGACUAGGACUCAUCAUUUCAGCUGAUCAUUCACGGCACAGCUCUUUCCUUGGAUCAACUGCUGUUUGGACUACUGUGGAAGUCUGGUGAAAUUCUCAGCUCACCCAUGCCCUGACUGGAGAGGUAACCAACACUUUGGACAACAUCACCAAAGCAGUCAACAUCAUAACUUCGAAAACCUCAGUGAAAGUUUCCUUGGAGGUUCCACCAAGAUACAGUUUCCACUGGUCGUGAGCAUGGACUCCAGUCUUCAUCCAGGUGUGGAAGCCCUUGAGCUUUGCUGCUCACCUCUUGUCGAGCCCACAACAAUGUGGAUAUUUCAUUUAUUGGAAGAGACAUCAUAGGAAAACUGCUGCUCUUGACUUCAUUGGAAAGGACCUUAUCAGAUCUCUGCGUGUGCCUGCUGAGUACUACUUCCUUCGUGACCAAAACGUCCAGCUCUGUUUGCUUCAGACUCUGCCAGAUGAAUCCUAUGCAAGAUGCCCAGACUUCAAAAUUCUACCACAACUGAGCUGUGCUGUUCCCUUUCAACAUACGAUUUAACUUAUUUUACAGAAACAACACCAACAAAAGUCUCAGAAAGACUAUUAAUCAGAUCCUGCUUCGUCUUGCUCAGGAGUUUUAUACUCGUCUCUUAGUUGUUUAGGAACCUAUUGUAUUCAUUAAUAUGGAA